rnacentral:rRNA from 2 species
GGGUUGUGAGGUUAAGCGACUAAGCGUACACGGUGGAUGCCCUGGCAGUCAGAGGCGAUGAAGGGCGUGCUAAUCUGCGAUAAGCGCCGGUAAGGUGAUAUGAACCGUUAUAACCGGCGAUACCCGAAUGGGGAAACCCAGUGUGACUCGUCACACUAUCAUUAACUGAAUCCAUAGGUUAAUGAGGCGAACCGGGGGAACUGAAACAUCUAAGUACCCCGAGGAAAAGAAAUCAACCGAGAUUCCCCCAGUAGCGGCGAGCGAACGGGGAGGAGCCCAGAGCCUGAAUCAGCAUGUGUGUUAGUGGAAGCGUCUGGAAAGGCGCGCGAUACAGGGUGACAGCCCCGUACACAAAAGCGCAUGUGCUGUGAGCUCGAUGAGUAGGGCGGGACACGUGGUAUCCUGUCUGAAUAUGGGGGGACCAUCCUCCAAGGCUAAAUACUCCUGACUGACCGAUAGUGAACCAGUACCGUGAGGGAAAGGCGAAAAGAACCCCGGCGAGGGGAGUGAAAAAGAACCUGAAACCGUGUACGUACAAGCAGUGGGAGCACAGGUUUACCUGUGUGAC